rnacentral:rRNA from 1 species
UACAGAGGUCUCAAGCGUUGUUCGGAUUCAUUGGGCGUAAAGGGUGCGUAGGCGGCGCGGUAAGUCGGGUGUGAAAUCUCGGAGCUUAACUCCGAAACUGCAUUCGAUACUGCCGUGCUUGAGGACUGGAGAGGAGACUGGAAUUUACGGUGUAGCGGUGAAAUGCGUAGAUAUCGUAAGGAACACCGGUGGCGAAGGCGGGUCUCUGGGCCAUUACUGACGCUGAGGAGCGAAAGCGUGGGGAGCGAACAGG